ACCCAAGCGUUAUCCAAAAUGAUUGAGCGUAAAGCGUCCGCAGGUGGCUAUGUAAGUCUGCUGUUAAAGAGUCUAGCUCAACUAUUAAAAAGCAGUGGAAACUACAUGGCUAGAGUGCGUUCGCCGCAGAGGGAAUUCCUGGUGUAGCGGUGAAAAGCGUAGAGAUCAGGAAGAACACCGGUGGCGAAAGCCCUCUGCUAGGCCAUAACUGACACUGAGGGACCAAAGCUAGGGGAGCGAAUGUGAUUAGAUACCCCAGUAGUCCUAGCCGUAAACGAUGGAUACUAGGCGUGGCUUGUAUCGACGGGAGCCGUGUCGUAGCUAACGCGUUAAUUAU
rnacentral:rRNA from 1 species